rnacentral:rRNA from 1 species
UCCGUAGGUGGAUAAUUAAGUCAGAGGUGAAAUCCUGCAGCUCAACUGUAGAAUUGCCUUUGAUACUGGUUAUCUUGAGUCAUUAUGAAGUGGUUAGAAUGUGUAGUGUAGCGGUGAAAUGCAUAGAUAUUACACAGAAUACCGAUUGCGAAGGCAGAUCACUAAUAAUGUACUGACACUGAGAGACGAAAGCGUGGGGAGCGAACAGGAUUAGAUACCCUGGUAGUCC